rnacentral:rRNA from 1 species
AGUUUGAUCAUGGCUCAGAACGAACGCUGGCGGCAUGCCUAACACAUGCAAGUCGAACGAAGCCUUCGGGCUUAGUGGCGCACGGGUGCGUAACGCUGGGAAUCUGCCCUUGGGUUCGGAAUAACAGUUAGAAAUGACUGCUAAUACCGAAUGAUGUCUUCGGACCAAAGAUUUAUCGCCCAAGGAUGAGCCCGCGUCGGAUUAGCUAGUUGGUGAGGUAAAGGCUCACCAAGGCGACGAUCCGUAGCUGGUCUGAGAGGAUGAUCAGCCACACUGGGACUGAGACACGGCCCAGACUCCUACGGGAGGCAGCAGUGGGGAAUAUUGGACAAUGGGCGAAAGCCUGAUCCAGCAAUGCCGCGUGAGUGAUGAAGGCCUUAGGGUUGUAAAGCUCUUUUACCCGGGAUGAUAAUGACAGUACCGGGAGAAUAAGCCCCGGCUAACUCCGUG